GUGCCAUGGAGGAAAUUUCAUUACAAUUUCAGUUCUUUCUGAUCUCAUGGCUGCUCUGCUUAACAAACCAAGCUCGUCUGACUGUG